CCUACGGGAGGCUGCAGUGAGGAAUAUUGGUCAAUGGGCGGAAGCCUGAACCAGCCAAGUAGCGUGCAGGAUGACGGCCCUACGGGUUGUAAACUGCUUUUAUACGGGAAUAACGCGCCUUACGUGUAGGGCCUUGCAUGUACCGUAUGAAUAAGCACCGGCUAAUUCCGUGCCAGCAGCCGCGGUAAUACGGAGGAUGCGAGCGUUAUCCGGAUUUAUUGGGUUUAAAGGGUGCGGAGGCGGUCCGGGAAGUCAGCGGUAAAAGCCCGGGGCUCAACCCCGGCGAUCCGUUGAAACUGUCGGACUAGAGAGGGCGAGAAGUACGCGGAAUGCGCGGUGUAGCGGUGAAAUGCAUAGAUAUCGCGCAGAACUCCGAUUGCGAAGGCAGCGUACCGGCGCCGGACUGACGCUGAGGCACGAAAGCGUGGGUAUCGAACAGGAUUAGAUACCCUUGUAGUC
rnacentral:rRNA from 1 species